rnacentral:misc_RNA from 1 species
UUUCCGUAGGUGAACCUGCGGAAGGAUCAUUAAUGAGUUGUCAUGGGGUUCGAUGCUGGCAGCCAAUUUUUGGAUGCAUGUGCUUGCCCUAACAAUCAUCUUCCAAACACCUGUGCACAUUUUUGAGGGAGUCUUGAGUUGGUUGCCGCUCUUGGGUGAUUUUCUCACAUUCCCUUAAAUCAUUAUACGCUAUUAACGAUGUUGAACGUGCUCUGUGCCGCAAGGCUAUUAAUAUAAUACAACUUUUAACAACGGAUCUCUUGGCUCUC